GUGCCAGCAGCCGCGGUAAUUCCAGCUCCAAUAGCGUAUACUAAAGUUGUUGCGAUUAAAAAGCUCGUAGUUGGAUCUCAGGCAUGGGCGCGCGGUCCGCCUCGCGGUGGUCACUGCGUGUAUUUGUUUCCCAUCCUAGGCUUCCCGGUUGUAUAGCCCAUGGUGCUCUUAACUGAGCGUUUUGGGUGGCCGGAACGUUUACUUUGAAGAAAUUAGAGUGUUCAAAGCAGGCUCUCCGCCUGAAUAAUGGUGCAUGGAAUAAUGGAAUAGGACCUCGGUUCUAUUUUGCUGGUUUUCGGAACACGAGGUAAUGAUUAAGAGGGACAGACGGGGGCAUCCGUAUUGCGGUGUUAGAGGUGAAAUUCUUG
rnacentral:rRNA from 1 species